rnacentral:antisense_RNA from 1 species
CCUUAAGACCCAAGCAAAGCAGGCACUGGGCUCUGACUGCCGUCUUCCUGGUUCCCCUUCCCUCCCCUGCCCUGACUUUGCAGCUGCCUCUCUGCAACAAGAGAGGAGUCAAGAGGGCCACUCAGUUUAGGGAAGAAGUUCGAGGAAGAAGAAUAUUUGGGCUGAUGGCUUGUGCUCUACAAGGCGGCCAGACCUUUGCCCAGCCCUGCCCGUUUAUUGCCGGAUACUUGCUGGAAGGGGACAAAAGAUAAGACUCGGGGUGACUCCCAAGGCCUGAAGGGGGCUGAGUGGGCCGGGGGCCCCCAGAGGAUGAACCCUAGGGGCUGGUCGGUCUUCCUCGGCGUGGAAGUGAGAGCCACGCGGCGUGGUGGAGCUCCACCACCGUCUCCUCAUCUCUUUAAAGCCUCAAAAUCAAACAAAACCACUACUACCCAGGCCUCAGGUUUCCAUAGCUUUUGUCUGCUCUGGACCGUUUACUUUUUUCAAAACUAAGUGGAAUCCAAAUUCUCUACUAGGCCUCCGAACCAAAAUGAAGGAAAAUCCCUUUUCAUCUUGGGCU